GGGGAAUUUUGGACAAUGGGCGCAAGCCUGAUCCAGCCAUGCCGCGUGUCUGAAGAAGGCCUUCGGGUUGUAAAGGACUUUUGUCAGGGAAGAAAGGGCUGUCGCUAAUACCGACAGUUGAUGACGGUACCUGAAGAAUAAGCACCGGCUAACUACGUGCCAGCAGCCGCGGUAAUACGUAGGGUGCGAGCGUUAAUCGGAAUUACUGGGCGUAAAGCGAGCGCAGACGGUUACUUAAGCAGGAUGUGAAAUCCCCGGGCUCAACCUGGGAACUGCGUUCUGAACUGGGUGACUAGAGUGUGUCAGAGGGAGGUAGAAUUCCACGUGUAGCAGUGAAAUGCGUAGAGAUGUGGAGGAAUACCGAUGGCGAAGGCAGCCUCCUGGGAUAACACUGACGUUCAUGCUCGAAAGCGUGGGUAGCAAACAGGAUUAGAUACCCUGGUAGUCCACGCCCUAAACGAUGUCAAUUAGCUGUUGGGCAACUUGAUUGCUUAGUAGCGUAGCUAACGCGUGAAAUUGACCGCCUGGGGAGUACGGUCGCAAGAUUA
rnacentral:rRNA from 1 species